AUACAUCGGAAUCUACCUUUUCGUGGGGGAUAACGUAGGGAAACUUACGCUAAUACCGCAUACGACCUACGGGUGAAAGUGGGGGACCGCAGCUCACGCGAUUAGAUGAGCCGAUGUCCGAUUAGCUAGUUGGCGGGGUAAUGGCCCACCAAGGCGACGAUCGGUAGCUGGUCUGAGAGGAUGAUCAGCCACACUGGAACUGAGACACGGUCCAGACUCCUACGGGAGGCAGCAGUGGGGAAUAUUGGACAAUGGGCGCAAGCCUGAUCCAGCCAUACCGCGUGGGUGAAGAAGGCCUUCGGGUUGUAAAGCCCUUUUGUUGGGAAAGAAAUCCUGUCGAUUAAUACUCGGUGGGGAUGACGGUACCCAAAGAAUAAGCACCGGCUAACUUCGUGCCAGCAGCCGCGGUAAUACGAAGGGUGCAAGCGUUACUCGGAAUUACUGGGCGUAAAGCGUGCGUAGGUGGUGGUUUAAGUCUGCUGUGAAAGCCCUGGGCUCAACCUGGGAAUUGCAGUGGAUACUGGAUUACUAGAGUGUGGUAGAGGGAUUGCGGAAUUUCUGGUGUAGCAGUGAAAUGCGUAGAGAUCAGAAGGAACAUUCGUGCGAAGCGCAUCCUGGCCAACACUGACACUGAGGCACGAAAGCGUGGGGAGCAAACAGGAUUAGAUACCUGGUAGUCCACGCCCUAAAC
rnacentral:rRNA from 1 species